GGAGUAAGUGAUAAAGACUUCAAUUCACCAUCAACUUUUCAGUAUAGCCAACUUUACAACAGGAUAGCCAAGUCUACUGUUAUGUGGGCCUAGAUUUUGUCAGAAUGAUUUUCAGAUGCAGGCUCAGACCUUCUUGGAAAGCAAAGCCACAUAACAAAACGUGUUGCAUCACCUGAUUGGAAGUGCACCAGUUAUAAACAGAGCGAAGAAAUGUGGGGCACAUUUUGAAGAGCUCUCCCUCCUUCGAAAAGCCAGAGCCAUCAGGAAGCCAAAGCCUACCCUUGCUGAUCAGAGUCACCCCUUUUCUUGAGAAUACAGGCUGCUGCCAUCUGGUUGCAGCCGAGAAGAGACUGAGUGGCAUUAUCUGCAGAUCAGCCAACUCCCUGUAACAAGAAAGAGAAUCAAAGCAGCAGAAGAGAGACAGGGAGGGGCACUGGGGCCGCCGAGGUGCAUGGUGGAGAACUUCAAAGGAGCAGCUGGCAGACACACAAGAGGAG